rnacentral:rRNA from 1 species
AGUACGUUCGCAAGAAUGAAACUCAAAGGAAUUGACGGGGGCCCGCACAAGCGGUGGAGCAUGUGGUUUAAUUCGAUGAUACGCGAGGAACCUUACCAGGGCUUAAAUGCAGGCUGCAUGGGGUAGAGAUACCCCUUUCUUCGGGCCGCCUGCAAGGUGCUGCAUGGUUGUCGUCAGCUCGUGCCGUGAGGUGUCAGGUUAAGUCCUAUAACGAGCGCAACCCCUACCGUUAGUUGCCUGCAUGUCAAGAUAGGGACUCUAACGGGACUGCCGGUGCAAACCGUGAGGAAGGUGGGGACGACGUCAAAUCAUCACGGCCCUUACGUCCUGGGCUACACACGUGCUACAAUGGCCGGUACAGAGGGAAGCCACCCCGCAAGGGGGCGCGGAUCUACAAAACCGGUCACAGUUCGGAUCGGGGUCUGCAACUCGACCCCGUGAAGCUGGAAUCGCUAGUAAUCGGAUAUCAGCCAUGAUCCGGUGAAUACGUUCCCGGGCCUUGUACACACCGCCCGUCAAGCCAUGGAAGCCGGGAGUGCCUGAAGUCCGUCACCGCAAGGAGCGGCCUAGGGCAAAAUCGGUAACUAGGGCUAAGUCGUAACAAGGUAACC